rnacentral:misc_RNA from 1 species
GGAAAGAAAGCACUAGUCAUCCCACACAAUGGAGGGGGAAAAAUAACAAGGAAAGAAACAAAUAUCGUCACAAUCUCCUACACAAAAGUGCAAUCAAUACAAGAAUGUAUUCAUUUCAUGAAGAUGACAAAUUAUAUUCUGAAGCAAUUCAAAUCGCAGGACAUUGAUGUACCUUGAUUGCAAUUUGUGCUUUGUUCUAUGUGACCUGGAAUAAAUGUAGGAGUAGGAAUAUCAGUCUCGCAGCAAUCCAGAAACAAAAAAGUUGCAAGCUUUAUGUUUUUGAUCUCAAAGCGAGNNNNNNNNNNCUUAAUUUCAAAGAUUAGCAUCCUCCACAUCUUCAGCACAAACAUUUCAGCUUCAUCAUCCAA